UGGCGGUUUUACCCUUCGUUUUUGUCUCAAUUACAGUUUGCAAUUACUUUUUGCGCUGUGGUCUGUUUCUGCGUGGCUCUGUUUGCUUGCUCCACGAAGAGAGAGGCAAGAAGGAUCGAGAGAGCCAGACAGGUCAAGAAGGAUCGAGAGUGUGCAGGUGUGUUUCUUUGCUUUGCGCGGAGAGAGAGAGAGGAGAUAUUCAGGAUCGAGAGAGUGCAGGGGGAGAGGUUUGGACUGGAAACAAAGAAAACGAUGAAUCUUGGUAUUAUUGCUGGUGUGGCUGCUCUGUUUUUUGGAUUCAAUGAGUUGCCUGAAGUGGGUUGGAGGGUGAAGAGGGUCUCAUCAUUGAACGGUACUGUUUUCUGUUCGAUAUCUCAGGUAAUUCCCUUUAUGCCCUGAUCAAUUCUUCGCCAAUUUUCUGUUCUAAGGAGUAGGUUCUGAAGCGGAGGAGAAGAAUGGCAAGAAAUAGUUAAUCUUUAUGUGAAUGAGAUACCCCAAAGUUUACCAACAUUUAGGAAUCUCAAUCAAUUGAACUUGGACCUCUUUUCAUACUGAAGUAAAAGUGAAGAUGUUGAUCGGGUGCCUGAUUCCAAAUUCUAACAAGACUGAUCGGGCUUCAAUGCUGGAUGAGGCAAUUGAGUAUUUGAAGCAGCUCCAGCUUUAAGUACAGAGGGGAGAAAGGAAGAAACAGAACAAGAAGAAGGAGAAAGGAAGAAACAGAACAACGGGAAGGACAGAAGAGGCAGAGAUAUCCAACAGAGGAGAAGAACUGCUCUACUUCACAGAUUCAAGGCACAAAUUUAUACACCAAAUUAAUUUUUAUGCUUAUUGGUUAUGUAUCAUAAUGAUUAAUUUCGGGUCGAUACUAGGUUUUCAAUUUUGAUUGAGUUGGUAUAAUGUUGGGUACAUAUUUGGCAUCUUGAAGUCCCUUUUCUUUAUGAUAAU